rnacentral:rRNA from 1 species
CUGACCUCAAAUCAGGUAGGACUACCCGCUGAACUUAAGCAUAUCAAUAAGCGGAGGAAAAGAAACUAACAAGGAUUCCCCUAGUAACUGCGAGUGAAGCGGGAAAAGCUCAAAUUUGAAAUCUGGCGGUUAUGCCGUCCGAGUUGUAUUCUGGAGAAGCGUCUUCCGCGCCGGACCGUGUACAAGUCCCUUGGAACAGGGCGUCAUAGAGGGUGAGAAUCCCGUCUCUGACACGGACCCCCGGUGCUAUGCGAUGCGCUCUCGAAGAGUCGAGUUGUUUGGGAAUGCAGCUCAAAACGGGUGGUAAAUUCCAUCUAAAGCUAAAUAUUGGCGAGAGACCGAUAGCGAACAAGUACCGUGAGGGAAAGAUGAAAAGCACUUUGGAAAGAGAGUAAAACAGUACGUGAAAUUGUUGAAAGGGAAACGCUUGAAGUCAGUCGCGUCUGCCGGAACUCAGCCUUGCUUCUGCUUGGUGCACUUUCCGGUCCGACGGGCCAGCAUCGGUUUCGAGCGGCGGACACUGGCGUGGGGAAGGUGGCGGCUCCGGCCGUGUUACAGCCCCGCGUCGCGAACGCCGCCCGGGACCGAGGAAUCCGGCGCAAGCCUGGGAUGCUGGCGUAAUGGCUUUAAACGACCCGUCUUGAAACACGGACCAAGGAGUGCUACGUGCUCGCGAGUGUUUGGGUGGAAAACCCGGACGCGCAAUGAAAGUGAAAGUCGAUACCCCUCGCGGGGGCACCGACGCCCGAGCCUGAUGUUUUCGGAAGGCCUUGCGGUAGAGCGAGUGCGUUGCGACCCGAAAGAUGGUGAACUAUUCCUGAGGAGGGCGAAGCAGAGGAAACUCUGGUGGAGGCUCGUAGCGGUUCUGACGUGCAAAUCGAUCGCAGGACUUGG